ensembl:lncRNA
GAUAACAAUAUGGACCAUCAGUAGGCCUGAUAACAAUAUGGACCAUCAGUAGGCCUGAUAACAAUAUGGACCAUCAGUAGGCCUGAUAACAAUAUGGACCAUCAGUAGGACUGAUAACAAUAUGGACCAUCACUAGGUCUGAUAACAAUAUGGACCAUCAGUAGGACUGAUAACAAUAUGGACCAUCACUAGGUCUGAUAACAACACAACUGCCCAUUUACUGUUAGUUCCCUUCAGUUGGUAUAGUCCACAUUAUCAUUCCAGUCAUUUCACUGUUUGGUUUACCUUCAUUUGCUUUCUUUGUAAACGCCGUCACGGCCGUGUGGUUGUUUUGAAGAUCAUUAGUAAAGUUGACAGUAUUAAGAAAGACAUGCUAAUAGUUAUGGAGAGGAGAACAGACCAAGCCCUAACACAUGGCGAUGUAAU